rnacentral:misc_RNA from 1 species
UUUCCGUUGGUGAACCAGCGGAAGGAUCAUUACAGAGAUCAUGCCCUCUAAGGGUAGACCUCCCACCCUGUGUUAAUACUCUUGUUGCUUUGGCAGGCCGCCUUCGGGCUCUCGGCUCCGGCUGAGGUGCGCCUGCCAGAGGACCCCAACUCUGUGUUUAGUGUCGUCUGAGUACUAUAUAAUAAGUUAAAACUUUCAACAACGGAUCUCUUGGUUCUGGCAUCGAUGAAGAACGCAGC